rnacentral:rRNA from 1 species
GAUGAACGCUGGCGGCGUGCCUAAUACAUGCAAGUCGAGCGAACGGACGAGAAGCUUGCUUCUCUGAUGUUAGCGGCGGACGGGUGAGUAACACGUGGAUAACCUACCUAUAAGACUGGGAUAACUUCGGGAAACCGUAGCUAAUACCGGAUAAUAUUUUGCACCGCAUGGUUCAAAAGUGAAAGACGGUCUUGCUGUCACUUAUAGAUGGAUCCGCGCUGCAUUAGCUAGUUGGUAAGGUAACGGCUUACCAAGGCAACGAUGCAUAGCCGACCUGAGAGGGUGAUCGGCCACACUGGAACUGAGACACGGUCCAGACUCCUACGGGAGGCAGCAGUAGGGAAUCUUACGCAAUGGGCGAAAGCCUGACGGAGCAACGCCGCGUGAGUGAUGAAGGACUUCGGAUCGUAAAACUCUGUUAUUAGGGAAGAACAUAUGUGUAAGUAACUGUGCACAUCGUGACGGUACCUAAUCAGAAAGCCACGGCUAACUACGUG